ensembl:snRNA U6 U6 spliceosomal RNA
CUGUUCUCCCUUUGGCAACACGUAUUCUAAAACUGGAACAAGAUUAGCCUGGCCCCUGUGCCAGGAUGACCCAUGAAUUUGUAAAAUAUUCCAUAUUUUU